rnacentral:rRNA from 1 species
CGCCUACAUGAAGCCGGAAUCGCUAGUAAUCGCGGAUCAGCAUGCCGCGGUGAAUACGUUCCCGGGUCUUGUACACACCGCCCGUCACACCACGAGAGUUGGUAACACCCGAAGUCGGUGAGGUAACCUUUUGGAGCCAGCCGCCGAAGGUGGGACCAAUGAUUGGGGUGAAGUCGUAACAAGGUAGCCGUAUCGGAAGGUGCGGCUGGAUCACCUCCUUUCUAAGGA